rnacentral:rRNA from 1 species
CUUUCAACAAUGGAUCUCUUGGCUCUCGCAUCGAUGAAGAACGCAGCGAAUUGCGAUAAGUAGUGUGAAUUGCAGAAUUCUGUGAAUCAUCGAAUCUUUGAACGCAUAUUGCACUUCUUCUGGUAUUCCGGAGAGUAUGCCUGUUUGAGGGUAAUU